UACAGAGGUCUCAAGCGUUGUUCGGAUUCAUUGGGCGUAAAGGGUGCGUAGGCGGUUCGCUAAGUUGGAUGUGAAAACUCUGGGCUUAACCCAGAGCCUGCAUCCAAUACUGACGAGCUAGAGUUCUGGAGGGGGUAGCGGAAUUCCUGGUGUAGCGGUGAAAUGCGUAGAUAUCAGGAGGAACACCGGUGGCGAAGGCGGCUACCUGGACAGAGUCUGACGCUGAGGCACGAAGGCUAGGGGAGCAAACAGG
rnacentral:rRNA from 1 species